ACCAGCCAAACACGAUAGGUGCGCAUGCGCAGCCAGCAAGCGGAAACUAGGAAGAACCGAGCACACACACACUGGCGUUAUGUGAGCGUGUCAAAAAUGGGACAACCAAUAGAUAAGACGAUUCCCACUGAACAUGAGGGACAGAGGAGGAGAACCCGCCAUCUCCCCGAUCCCACACCCCGCUCCUGUCUGUUGCACGUUCAUCAUAACGCCUGACGCUCUGCUACCUCUGCCGGACAGAGCUGCCACCCCAGACAGGAGCGAGGGGCCCGUGUGUGGACAAGGGGUGCUGCUGAGGAGCAGAGGGCACGUCGGGUUCACAGGGUCAAGAGAUGUCUGUCUGGGGGCACAUGUGGAGCAGCAGGGAACACACAGCCCGGAGGAGAGUGGGCUCGUUCUGACGGGAUUCAAGUCGCCAAGAUUAAAAAAAAAAGGGUCAUUUAUGUUCAGAAAUCUUGAGAUAUUUGCCCCAACGUUUGAAUUCAGCCCCUUUUACUCAUUUACCCGUGAA